AGUUCUGGGUCUUUCACUUCCAAUGUUGGAGAUGGGAAAGUUGAAUUUGGUAAGACUUUCAUGCUUCCGGUUACGCUUUACAAGGAAACAUCCAGAAAAAGCACUGCUUGUGACAGUUUUCAGAAGAACUACUUAGAGUUAAGCUUGUAUGAUCUUCGAAAAGACAGGGCAUCGAAAGGCCAACUCUUGGGAUCAGCUGGUAUAAACGUUGCAGAUUAUGGAAUCAUCAAAG
rnacentral:misc_RNA from 1 species